rnacentral:rRNA from 1 species
AGAGUUUGAUCAUGGCUCAGAUUGAACGCUGGCGGCAGGCUUAACACAUGCAAGUCGAGCGGUAACAGGAGAAGCUUGCUUCUCGCUGACGAGCGGCGGACGGGUGAGUAAUACUUAGGAAUCUACCUAGUAGUGGGGGAUAGCUCGGGGAAACUCGAAUUAAUACCGCAUACGACCUACGGGAGAAAGGGGGCAACUUGUUGCUCUCGCUAUUAGAUGAGCCUAAGUCGGAUUAGCUAGAUGGUGGGGUAAAGGCCUACCAUGGCGACGAUCUGUAGCUGGUCUGAGAGGAUGAUCAGCCACACCGGGACUGAGACACGGCCCGGACUCCUACGGGAGGCAGCAGUGGGGAAUAUUGGACAAUGGGGGCAACCCUGAUCCAGCCAUGCCGCGUGUGUGAAGAAGGCCUUUUGGUUGUACAGCACUUUAAGCAGUGAAGAAGACUCCAUGGUUAAUACCCAUGGACGAUGACAUUAGCUGCAGAAUAAGCACCGGCUAACUCUGUGCCAGCAGCCGCGGUAAUACAGAGGGUGCAAGCGUUAAUCGGAAUUACUGGGCGU